AUUCCAGACUCCUACGGGAGGCAGCAGUGGGGAAUAUUGCACAAUGGGGGGAACCCUGAUGCAGCGACGCCGCGUGAGUGAAGAAGUCAUUCGUGAUGUAAAGCUCUAUCAGCAGGGAAGAAAAUGACGGUACCUGACUAAGAAGCCCCGGCUAACUACGUGCCAGCAGCCGCGGUAAUACGUAGGGGGCAAGCGUUAUCCGGAUUUACUGGGUGUAAAGGGAGCGUAGACGGCAGCGCAAGUCCGAAGUGAAAGCCCGGGGCCCAACCCCGGGACUGCUUUGGAAACUGUGAAGCUGGAGUGCGGGAGGGGCAGGCGGAAUUCCUGGUGUAGCGGUGAAAUGCGUAGAUAUCAGGAGGAACACCGGCGGCGAAGGCGGCCUGCUGGACCGUAACUGACGUUGAGGCUCGAAAGCGUGGGGAGCAAACAGGAUUAGAUACCCUCGUAC
rnacentral:rRNA from 1 species